ensembl:lncRNA
CCUCCAGGAGAAAUUCCCUUCUGAAGGAGAAGCAACAGCCUAGAGGACCUCUUAGAAAGGACCGGUAAAUUGGAAUAGACACCUACUUGCCUGGAACGAGAAUGACCAGUUAUCAGUUUACCGAAAGGCUCCAAGACUCCAGACAUAACUCAUUGGUGGUGAGGUGAUUGAUAAAGGAUUUGUGGUUGUAAUGUUCUUUGAAAUGUGUUCAAGAAACAGACACCAAAAUGCAGUGGUCACUGUAAAAAUGCUUUGAGAAGUUAUAAAGACUUCAAUACAAGUGAAAGACAGAACAGAGUAAUGAUUUCAAAUGGAGAAUUUCUCUAGUGACAUUUGUAUGAGGCACUUCAAGUAAUCUGUCUUACCUAAGGAAAAGCAGAAGUUGGGUUUGUGUGAUUUCAAAGCAUUUCAGUGAUUCUUUGAGAUGCUUGCCAACCAUGGUAGACAUGGCAAGCGAUUAAGAUGGAUAAAAGAAAAGCAUUCAAGUAUUUGGAGAUUGGUUUGGGAGACAACAAAAGUAAUAAUUGACAGAGCAUGAAUUUAAAUGCAUAAACAGGCAGGAGAAAUGGAGGCAGUUGUUUAGAUAAUUGGAUCAAAACCCCUCUCUAUGAAUACUGUACAUUUUUAUAUAUUUUGCCAUUUAACAAACUAGUUUUCUCUCUUUGAAAGCUUUUUAAGGAAAAAAAGAGAAUUUCAUAGUUUAACUUGGUUUUCAGAACUUGGCCCUUAAGUUCUGGUCAUGGUUUUGUUGCUCCUUCACUCUAAAAUAGUAUUUUAAUAAAAUAUUAAAAGUCAUAGACCAAAAAGUAAUAAAUAUAAGCUCCCCUAAGAUAAUCACUUUAUUUUCUGCUUCUCUAAAAAUCAUAAAAUGGUCACUCGGUAGCCUGAGCCUGUGUUUCUGUAAGUCUAUAAAUGGAUAACAUUUUUCUAGAGGUCUUGGAUUCUAAGGGUACAUGUGAGUGUUUCUAGUUUUUAUUCCGGUUGCCUCUGAUAUAGCCCACACUUGAUUAGUUGCAUAAUGGAAAUUUU